rnacentral:pre_miRNA from 1 species
GUGACAGAAGAGAGUGAGCACACAUGGUGUUUUCUAGCAUGAUGUUUUACAUGCUUGAAACUAUGUGUGCUCACUGCUCUAUCUGUCAC